GUAACCCAGGGAUGAGAAACCAAAACAAAAGGAGGCACUACCUGAGAGAUGAGAUAUGAAACCUGAACCUGGGAAGGAAGUGGAAGGAGCACCUGGGCUCAAGGACCUGACCUGAAGGCUGAUCUCCAGAAGCUGCCUCAGGCAAAGGCUGGGCGUGUAACUGGAUAUCACCCUGAUGUCAAGGCGAGAAAUCUGCCCUUUUUAGAGUCCAUUAAAAUGCUGGAAGCAGGUGCACGAAUUUUUUCAAGUAUGACACAGACCCCAAAGCAAAG